rnacentral:rRNA from 1 species
GAUAUUCCUGUACCACCUAUAAUCGUUUUAAUCGAUGGGGGGACGCAGUAGGAUAGGCGAAGCGUGCGAUUGGAUUGCACGUCUAAGCAGUAAGGCUGAGUAUUAGGCAAAUCCGGUACUCGUUAAGGCUGAGCUGUGAUGGGGAGAAGACAUUGUGUCUUCGAGUCGUUGAUUUCACACUGCCGAGAAAAGCCUCUAGAUAGAAAAUAGGUGCCCGUACCGCAAACCGACACAGGUAGUCAAGAUGAGAAUUCUAAGGUGAGCGAGCGAACUCUCGUUAAGGAACUCGGCAAAAUGACCCCGUAACUUCGGGAGAAGGGGUGCUCUUUAGGGUUAACGCCCAGAAGAGCCGCAGUGAAUAGGCCCAAGCGACUGUUUAUCAAAAACACAGGUCUCUGCUAAACCGUAAGGUGAUGUAUAGGGGCUGACGCCUGCCCGGUGCUGGAAGGUUAAGAGGAGUGGUUAGCUUCUGCGAAGCUACGAAUCGAAGCCCCAGUAAACGGCGGCCGUAACUAUAACGGUCCUAAGGUAGCGAAAUUCCUUGUCGGGUAAGUUCCGACCCGCACGAAAGGCGUAACGAUUUGGGCACUGUCUCAACGAGAGACUCGGUGAAAUCAUAGUACCUGUGAAGAUGCAGGUUACCCGCGACAGGACGGAAAGACCCCGUGGAGCUUUACUGUAGCCUGAUAUUGAAAUUCGGCACAGCUUGUACAGGAUAGGUAGGAGCCUUUGAAACGUGAGCGCUAGCUUACGUGGAGGCGCUGGUGGGAUACUACCCUAGCUGUGUUGGCUUUCUAACCCGCACCACUUAUCGUGGUGGGAGACAGUGUCAGGCGGGCAGUUUGACUGGGGCGGUCGCCUCCUAAAAGGUAACGGAGGCGCUCAAAGGUUCCCUCAGAAUGGUUGGAAAUCAUUCAUAGAGUGUAAAGGCAUAAGGGAGCUUGACUGCGAGACCUACAAGUCGAGCAGGGUCGAAAGACGGACUUAGUGAUCCGGUGGUU